rnacentral:lncRNA from 1 species
UGGGCUACAAGGAAUGCUGCUUGAGGAAGCAGAGGUAGAAGGUAAAGAGCCAUCUCCUCCAUUGCUGCUACGGCUGCUACUAGGUGAAGGGAGAGGCGAAAGCUGCCUAUGCACAGCAAAGUAAAGAUCUAAUGCUGGUAAUGUGUUGCACAACUUCAGUCCUGCUUCUUCCUUGAAUCCAAACCCUAACUCGAUGGACCCUUUGAGCUCCCUUAAGUCUUCAUCGGUUAGAUCAGUAGGAUCAUAAUCGCUGUCAGAGAGGCCUUUCUGCUUCUUUUCCUGAAUCUUUAACAUCUGACGGCGCCUUUUCUCCCAAGCAACAUCUCUUGGUGUCUCACGCAUUGAGAGUUGCUUUGAUAACCGCUGUUUUGGUUUCUGCGAGGCUAACGGGGCCACUAGUGGCUCAGGAAGUGAUGGUGAUGAAGACGAGAUUGGUAAGGUAAGGCCUUCUCUUCUCCUCACCAUUUUUAUAUCUUGUAAUGCAAGGCAGGGGAUUUGUUCUUAGAAUUGGGAAAGAUGCCUUCUGGUACAAGCUAGGGCUUAUUUUACUACCUGUUUUCUUUAGGAGAAUAUCAAAGCUUUGGAGUUUGCUUAUGAGUCUAGAUGUAUGUUCUUCAUCUGCUGGCCGCGUGUGAAACCAAUUAACACGGCCAACAAAGAAGCUUCUACGGGUCGGGUUGAUCAGAAAAUCUUCUGUAUACUCUUUUUCUACCUGAAAAUUUUGCCAAACCCGACCACAUAAACUCUCACAAAAAGAGACUCAAAGAGCCUUUUAAUGGAGGAUUUGAGAAAGUAGUUUUCACCAUUGAUUUAUGCAAUGGAGUCAAAAGCUAUUUUCCUCCAUUGUUUAAAUUUGAUAUACAAAAGACUCAUCCUCAUUUAUUUAGGGAUCUUUCUUUGUUUAGAUUCUUGACUCCCAAAAAAGAAAACGUGUUUCAUAAUUAUCCUACUCUACAAGAAUGUACAUUGAUCAAACCUGUUAUUUUUUCCUAUUUUGAGAAUCCAGUCAAUAUAGUUUUAAGUCAUGAAUUUUAUUUCAUUAGUGUAAGAUUAAUAACUCAAAAGUAUAUUUUUUCUCUCUUCAAAGUUCUAACCAAAUUUGCUUAAAAUAGUUUUCUAAUAUUAAUCCUCUCCACCAUGGAUUUCUCUAACUACUUUCUGUUUCUCUUUCAGACACAACACCAAAAAAAUGAGAAAAAUUCAAUGACCAAGGAAAACGAACGGUUUGUUUUUGUCUUGUUGAGGUUUCUGCUCCUGUUUCCAUGGCUCUGAUCAUACAUUGUUAGGUUUGGAGAGAGGAGAAGAAACAAGCCUCCAAGUUUUCUCUCCUGGUUUCUUGAGGUAAUAAUAAUCCCACUAAGAAAAUUAACCUUUUAUGUUCCUGAAGAUUUAAAACACGUAAUUUAUCUAAUGUUUCAGCCAUGAACGAGAAAACGAGGACCCUGUGUUCCCUCCUCUGUUUCUUCUCUGUUCUUCUAGUUUCUAUCUCUCAAUCUAACGGCCAAGAUCUCGCGUUGGCAUGCGGGGCAUCAGAAUCAUCUGCUGAUCCAGACAAGAAGAAAUGGGAACCCGACACCAAGUUCUUGAAAACACCAAACACGGAUCAUGCAACAGCAACGUAUCAAGAUCCAUCUCUUCUCUCAACGAUUCCUUAUAUGACAGCAAGAAUCUUCACAGCUCCUGCCACUUACGAGAUCCCGGUUAAAGGAGACAAGAGACAUUUGCUCCGGUUGCAUUUCUACCCAUCAGCAUAUACGGGACUCAACAUUGAUGACUCUUACUUCUCUGUAGCAGCUAACGAUGUCACCCUUCUAAGCAACUUUAGUGCGUCCAUCACAUGUCAAGCCUUAACACAAGCUUACCUCGUUAGAGAAUAUUCUCUUGCACCAACCCUAAAAGAUGCCUUGACCAUCACGUUUACUCCUUCGGAUAAACAUCCUAAAGCGUUUGCUUUCAUAAACGGUAUUGAAGUCGUUGAGAUGCCGGAACUGUUUGAUACAGCUGUUCUCGUUGGGUUCACAGACCAAACAGCUGAUGCUAAGUCCGCGAAUCUUCAGACAAUGUUUAGGCUUAACGUUGGUGGUCAGGACAUUCCCGGAAGCCAAGACUCUGGCGGGUUAACAAGAACUUGGUACAACGAUGCGCCUUACAUAUUCAGCGCAGGUGUGUAUUUUUUUUUUGAAUACCAGGAGGUUCGAGGCCAAAGCCUGUAAUACUCUUAGGCAUAAAAUCACAACAUUUAAUAUUAGUUUCGUCCUAGUGCAGGUCUUGGUGUUACCCUUCGAGCAAGCAACAACUUUAGGAUUGAUUACCAGAAAAUGCCGGUCUCGACCGCACCACCUGAUGUCUACAAAACAGCUAGAUCACAAGGACCAAAUGGAGAUCUCAACGUUAAUUCUAAUCUCACAUGGAUGUUUCAAGUUGAUACUAACUUCACUUACAUCAUGAGACUCCACUUCUGUGAGUUCCAGCAAUCUAAAGUUAAUCAAAAAGCUUUCAACAUAUACAUAAUCUUUCUUGAACAUUUGUUUUGUUUACCUGUUGUAAUUACAGGAUGCUCUCUAACAGGGAAUCAGCUAGACGAUCCAGAAGAAGAAAGCAAGCACACCUUAGUGAGCUAGAGACACAAGUAUGUUUAAUCUCCCCCCACAUUUGUUUUCUUUCUCAGCUCACUUAUUAUUAACAAUCUCCAUCUCUCUGGUAGGUUUCACAGCUGCGUGUAGAGAACUCAAACCUCAUGAAAGGUCUCACUGACGUAACUCAGACUUUCAACGAGGCAUCUGUAGAAAACAGAGUUCUUAAAGCCAAUCUAGAGACGCUACGAGCUAAAGUAAGUAAAAAAAAUCCAUUUCCAUCUCCUCUCAGAUUAAAAAGUUAACAAAACUCAUUUAACAAGACUCUUCUGCUGAAACCUUUUUUCAGGUGAAAAUGGCUGAGGAGACAGUGAAGAGAAUCACAGGCUUCAACCCAAUGUUCCACACUAUGCCUCCGGUUUCAACCGUCUCUAAUCCUUCAGAGACAUCGAACUCUCUAGACACAAGCUCCCAAGUGACUACACCGGAGAUCAGCUCAAGCAGCAACAAAAGCAAGGCCUUGAUCGGUUGCAAAAUGAACAGAACAGAGUCGAUGAGGAGAGUUGCGAGUUUGGAGCAUCUGCAGAAACGUAUUCGCAGCGUUGGGGAUAAGUAGCUUUGUGAAGAAGAAGAAGAAGAAGAAGAAGAAAGUUGAUUUGUAUAACAUUAUCAAGAAUAGAGAGAGGCAUUGAGACAAAAGUGUUAUAUGUGUUGUGUAAAGAAUUGUCUGACCUAGUUUAUCUCUGAUUAGGUCCCUCUUAAAUGUGUUUUCAAUCUCUUUUUCAACAUCUACAGUUUGUAUCUUGUAAACUACUACAAAGUUAUCAAACUCAAAGCUUCAUUGGUACUGUAAAGACAAUUAGAAAAGACCAUUUCUUGGUAGUGAACUAGUAGAAUUAAUAAUGUUUUUAUCUGCAAUUAGAUAAAUUUUGUAAAUUUUUAAAACAUUUUCAUUAAUUAAUAUAAUAAGUUAUAUACUGUUAUGAUACAUUAACCGAAAAUAUCUGACCGAUUAAAUAUUAUUGGUUGAUAGUUAUUGAAAUAUGUAUAUAUUAAAAUAAAUAAUAAAUUUGAUUAUAAAUAUUUAUUAUAUUUUACAUGCAUAAAAAUUUUGAAAAUAUUUUUCAAGAACUGAUAAAAUAUUAUCUUUUCAUUAUUCACUACUUAUAAGAAAAUAUUAGCUAAUAAUUUGUUGACAAACAAAAAAGCUAAUAAUUUUAUUAUUUUAACUGAAUAAAAGAAUAACUUUUCCAUGUCAAAAAAAAAAAAUAGCUAACAAUUUUAUUAUAUUUUUAUUGGAUAAAAGAAUAAAAAAAAACAGAGAUAACGUUGGGACCAGAAGAAGAAGAAAAGAUUAGAAGAGAGCAGUAAGUAAUGGCGACAUCGGUUGCGACUCUAUCUUCUCCGCCACCAGUUACUCUGCAUCUCUCUUCAUCUCGCUCUUCCUUAUUCUCCAACUGUUUCAUAGCGACCACCCGAAGACCAAAGACCCGUUCUUUGGUGGCGAUUCGACCGGAGCAGAGGAGAAAGUCGCUCACUUGUAAUGCCCUGUUUGGUCUCGGUGUCCCUGAGCUUGCUGUGAUUGCUGGCGUCGCCGCGUUGCUUUUCGGACCUAAGAAGCUUCCUGAGAUUGGCAAGAGUAUUGGCAAGACCGUCAAGAGCUUUCAACAGGUUUGCUGUCCGAUUAUUAGAAAAAAACUUAUAUCAUUCGGAAUCUUUCAACUAUAGUUUUGGUCUGUGUCUUCACAUGAUGUGUAAAGCUUGUUGAUUGUAGUUGGAAUUGAUGUUAAAAGGUCUCAAGGAGAAGUGUGUUUUUUUGGGGAAUUUUAUGUUUCAAGUGCUUAGUAGUAUGAUUCAUGUCUGAAUUUGUUAUAAUUGAUAAGAACACUCAGAAGAUUUGAAAUUGAAUGUGUGUAAAACAGUUCACUAUUAUACAAUAAGCUCAUUGAUAACUUUGAUGUAUAAAUCAUUUUGUUAUGUAGGUUAAUAAUCUCUUUCCAACAAGCUGCUGGUAAAUUCGUUAAUUGGAGUGAUAUUAGAUUUAUAUUUUCUAUAGAAGUUACUUGAUAAUUCUCAGAUAUAUAGCUUCUACUUGUAUGUUUUGUGUUCCUUUCAGCUCUUCUCGUCUUUAAUAUUUGCAUUGAUGAUGGGCUUGUGGGGGGGUUUUGUAAUGAUGCAGGCUGCAAAAGAGUUUGAGUCUGAGCUUAAGACAGAACCAGAACCAGAAGAUUCUGUUGCUGGCUCGUCGUCUCCAGUAGCAAUGAGUAACAAGGAAGAGGAAAAAACUGAGGUUUCGUCAAGCUCAAAGGACAAUAAUGUAUGAAAGAAUGAUGAGACUUUUUUUUUUUUUUUUUGCUUUGUCUGUAGUUAAAUGAGUUUAGAUCAAAUACUCUUUGUUGAAGGAAGCAGGCUUGUCUUCCUAUGAAAUAUGGUUCCAUGGUGUUUGAAUCUAUAUUAGCUAUAUCUUCUUAAGAAUAUAGCAAACCUUGCAAAUCAUUCAAUUUUUAACAUCAGAUGAACCUAAAGACAGAGGCUGCAUAAACAGAUUCAAGAUGUUACUCAAAUGAGUGGAUCUGAGAGACGAAAACAAAAAAUACAAAAUUUCUCAUGACACAGAGAGUAAUUUGUCUACAUGAUUUUUAAUUACUGAGCUAGUUUCUGUCUCUUUAUCCUCUCUAACGCACCCAGAGUCUUCUCACCUCCUUCCUCAGCUUCUUCCUCCUCUCUCUUUCUUGCAAGUCCUCCAAACACAGCAGCAGGGACUUCCUUCUGAGCAAUCUCUACUCUUUCUUCCCCAUCAGACGCAUCCUCAUCAUCAUCGUCACUCUCUUCCGGAAGCUCAAUAUCUUCAGCCACUGGCCUCAUUCUCACCAGACUGUGAGAUGACCCCCGCGCUCACAAACCCAACUCUUCUCCCACCAACCGUGGUAGACACUGGAGCCGCCAUGAGCUGCCUCUCCAGCGCCGCCAUCUCGUCAUCCGGCAAACCCGCCUUCUUCAGCUCAUCUUUCGCCUCCUCCACGUCCACCAUCUUGUCCCUCUGCAUCAUGUUCUCCGGCAGAAUGAAAUGAGUCUGGCUGUAACUAGCGGAAACGCUUCGUUUGAUCCGUAGCAUCUCUCUGUACGUGUCCUCGUUCCCGUGCUGCACCUCGAACUCGUGCCACCUGCUCCAAAACUCCGGGUCUGAUCUUGGAUCAGCGUACUGAGAGGCGUACUUGUAGACUGCACGAGCACGGUCGAUCUCUCUCUCCCAAGCUUCUCUCCAGCUCUGCGAACUGUAUGCACAUGAUCUUCACGUCAUUGUGUGGGAGACCAGAAGACUCUAUCGCUUGCUCGUAUAUCUCCCUUGUUCUCGCGACGCCGAAUAUCUCAGCUGCACGAGAAAUGUAUAUCUCAUACAUCUCCAGCCUCUGGAGCUCUGGAACCUUCUUGGUUGCUUCCUCGUAAACCUUCAUGGCUCGCUUGGCCAGACCGUAGUCCUCUUCUAGCUUAGCGUAGUGUAGAUAUAACGUCCUCACAGCAUCAGAUGGAGCCUGAAACAAAUAUAAAGACAAGUUAGAUCAAGAAACAGCCUUUGAACCAAAAAGAAUGUGUUAAGCUUACCAUUGAGAUAGCAUGUUCAAACAACUCUCUAGCCCGCUCCAGCUUUGUGUUACCAUACCUUUUGACGAACUUUGUAAGAUAAGUUACCCAAAUGUCUUUGACGUGAGGAUACAUGAACAUCUUGACGCGUCUCUCAUAAACCUUGAACGCAUCUUCAAAAUACUUAUUCUCCUCGAGGAUGAAAGCGUAGUUGAGUAUCUUCCGGAUUAGAGAUUACGUACUGAUUUCUAGUGACCGAUUGGUUAGUUUUACGAAACCAAUCACUUGCACAGUUGCACAUCACUAGCUAGGUAGCCGAACGUUGAGAAGGCCCAUUUCAUUUCUUCAUGUUCCUGGCCUGACGAAAGGUGAGAGAAAUGAUGUAAGCUCGUGUGAUUGGUGACUUUGGUGUGUCUGUAAUACUGGAGCUUUUGUGUUGAUGCUGAAAUGGAUUUUUGGGUUGAUUGGUAGUUUGAAUCUUAAGUGCACAAUAUGAAAUUUAUUGUUACUUAUUUCUCUCCAUUAUUACGUAGAUCAAGUAAAUGAUUAAUACACAAGUAAAAUACGGUCAAAAAAUUCUUCUGAAACCACUCAUAUAAUAGAUCCGUGCAUUUGCAUAAUACAAGGCUCUUAUGAAAAACAUACUUCAAAAUAUUUUUCAUCGUAACCAUCAUCAAGUCCACGACCAUACAUUAAAAGUCUAUAUGCAUACAGUACACGAAUAAGAAAGGCCGUCCUCUCUUCAUCUUGUUACUUUUGCAAAACUAUGUAGAGAGAGAGAGAGAGCCAUGAUGAUCUCUUUCUCUAUCUUUUUUUUUUUUUUCUCCCAAAACUUUCCUUUUUUUUUGUUAUUCCCUCCUUCAGAGAGAUCCUACUUGGUAGGAUUCUUUCUCUGUCCUAUCUCACCAGCAAUAGUAAAAAAAAAACAAGUGUUUCAAGUUGAAACUUAAGAGUCACAACGUAUACACUCAUUAGUGAGACUGCAUCACAGAACAUGCAACAGCUUGUGCCCAAUGCCUUAAUCUUUGUUUCACUUGUUGUGGACUGUCCCCUGCACAACUCAAUUCACAAUGAUUAGUGUGAGAAUAUAAGCUCCAAGAGUUUCGAUGGGACAUGAUUAAUAUACAAAACCUUAGCUCAAUUCACUUAUCCUCAAUUGGUUUUAAAUUAGAAGUCUAGGAAACUUAACGAUUAGUCUAUGCAUGUAAAUACUGACCAUAGAAAAUCAGCAUUUAUAAGAAGAUGAAAUGAAGUUUUUGUUUUUACCUGGACAUAAGAUCUUUAAUGAAUCCGAGUCGGUUCUUGGGCUACAAGGAAUGCUGCUUGAGGAAGCAGAUGUAGAAGGUAAAGAGCCAUCUCCUCCGUUGCUGCUACGGCUGCUACUAGGUGAAGGGAGAGGCGAAAGCUGCCUAUUCACAGCAAAGUAAAGAUCUAAUGCUGGUAAUGUGUUGCACAACUUCAGUCCUGCUUCUUCCUUGAAUCCAAACCCUAACUCGAUGGACCCUUUGAGCUCCCUUAAGUCUUCAUCGGUU